UAUGUACUCCCUCCGUUCAGAAUUACUUGUCUCGGAAAAGGAUGUAUCUAGAACUAAAAUACAUCUAGAUACAUCCAUUUCCGAGACAAGUAAUUCCGAACGGAGGGAGUACAUU
rfam:Triticum aestivum genome assembly, contig: Triticum_aestivum_CS42_TGACv1_scaffold_616881_7DL